UACGUAGGGGGCGAGCGUUGUCCGGAUUUAUUGGGCGUAAAGCGCACGUAGGCGGCUUUGUAAGUCAGAGGUGAAAGCCUGGAGCUCAACUCCAGAACUGCCUUUGAGACUGCAUCGCUUGAAUCCAGGAGAGGUGAGUGGAAUUCCGAGUGUAGAAGGUGAAAUUCGUAGAUAUUCGGAAGAACACCAGUGGCGAAGGCGGCUCACUGGACUGGUAUUGACGCUGAGGUGCGAAAGCGUGGGAGCA
rnacentral:rRNA from 1 species